rnacentral:misc_RNA from 1 species
AAUUUUCGCGGGUGCUAUAUUGUUGCCAUACUUAAAUAUAAAUAAGUACAUAUGAUACUAAUAGUAUAUGUAGCAAUCAUUUAUUAGCCAAAAAUACAAAGCACUUAAGGUUCUUUGCACUCACCAAUUGAAUUGGUAAAAUUUUCUUAGGCAGGUGUUUCCAUUAAUAUUUUCUAUAGAAGUGGAGUGUUUGUCUUGUCCUCCACCAUCACCUGCAGUGUUCCUCUUGGUAAAACCACCUUUGCAUAAAUAUAUUUUUGCUAAUCCCAUGAGUGAUAACCCAACAAUGUCUUCGCUUGGCAUGCUCCUCUUAAUUUGGGUUCUAAGGAGAGGCUUGUUGGCCAGGUCGGGGUUUAGCUAAGUGUCUCAUGCUAAAUUUUUCUUGCCCUACUUUUUAUUAAUAAAAUUAACUUAU